ACUGCUGCAAUACAAAAUGUUAUUCACACAUAAAUAACAAACGCAUUACCAAAACAACCUACUAAAAGUAAUUGCAUGUUAUAUUUGGAUCACCUAUUGAGAGAAGCAACGUGUCUGUGCAGGUAUUUAAUGUGCCAUCAUAUGCUCGGCCUCCCACGGAGUAACAGGAACCCUGCCCUAUCUUACACUUUAUGGAGAGAGGAAUGUCCAUCUUCUCUCACUCAGCCUGUUUUCCUUUCACAUCAUUUAAGCAUUAAAAGAGGUGUGUAUGGUGCAAUGAAUGCUCAUUAGAGGAUGCGGAGCCAGGAUUGUGGGCCAGGAUAAAUUAGAGGCUUGUCUUGAAUUAUUGUGGCCUGCACUCACCUGUCUCAUGAACGUGUAGGUGAGGACCAUGAGUCAAAUUUACUCCCCUGUGGAGUGGCCACAGGCCUCAAGGUGGUGCUGGGAAUGAAACUGCAUGCUGGGUCCAUGAAGAGGCCUCCACCCCUCCCAGCAGGACCUCUGUCACUCGGCACUGACCCCCUGUAGCCCUCAGACCUGCCGAGACACAGCACAGAGCACAUGCAAGGUGAGAGAGGGGGACUUGUCUUUUUGAUUGUCCCUAACGUGGAACAAUAAGCGGCUAUUGACAGGUGCCUCAUAGACAGAAUCUAUUGGCUAACAUUUAUCCUGCAUUUGAUGUGCCUAAUGUAUUGAUUUCUUAUUAAUGUGUCCAUAAUUAUUCCUAAAUUUACUAUUUGUUUUCUCUUGAUUCCUUAUUCAUUUUUAUAUCCACUGUUCAUUAUCCAUUGUUGAGCGUUACUGGAUUGCCUGUUGUGUAGUGUUAUUUUUUUUAAGCGUACAGGUUCAAAUCUUUGGCAUAAUCUGUGAUCUGUUAUUGCAAUGUGAAAAUAAACCUACUGCUAAUGCUGCAUUAAAUCAUUUAGUGUUCAAAAACAA